rnacentral:rRNA from 1 species
GCCUACGGGGGGCAGCAGUGGGGAAUAUUGCACAAUGGGGGGAACCCUGAUGCAGCGACGCCGCGUGGGUGAAGAAGUAUUUCGGUAUGUAAAGCCCUAUCAGCAGGGAAGAAAAAUGACGGUACCUGACUAAGAAGCACCGGCUAAAUACGUGCCAGCAGCCGCGGUAAUACGUAUGGUGCAAGCGUUAUCCGGAUUUACUGGGUGUAAAGGGAGCGCAGGCGGCACGCUAAGCCUGAUGUGAAAACCCGCGGCCCAACCGCGGGACUGCAUUGGGAACUGGCGCGCUGGAGUGCCGGAGGGGG